GUGCCAGCAGCCGCGGUAAUACAGAGGUGCCAAGCGUUAGGCGGAAUCACUGGGCUUAAAGCGUGUGUAGGUGGAUGCCUAAGUACCUUGUGAAAUCCCACGGCUUAACCGUGGAACUGCUCGGUAUACUGGGUGUCUUGAGCCAACUAGGGGCAGUCGGAACAAACGGUGGAGCGGUGAAAUGCGUAGAUAUCGUUUGGAACGCCAAUGGUGAAAACAGACUGCUGGGGUUGUGCUGACACUGAGACACGAAAGCCAGGGGAGCGAACGGGAUUAGAAACCCGGGUAGUCC
rnacentral:rRNA from 1 species